rnacentral:rRNA from 1 species
GUGGAUUAGAUACCCCAGUAGUCCUAGCCGUAAACGAUGGAUACUAGGCGUUGCUUGUAUCGACCCGAGCAGUGCCGUAGCUAACGCGUUAAGUAUCCCGCCUGGGGAGUACGCACGCAAGUGUGAAACUCAAAGGAAUUGACGGGGGCCCGCACAAGCGGUGGAGUAUGUGGUUUAAUUCGAUGCAACGCGAAGAACCUUACCAAGGCUUGACAUGUCGCGAAUCUCCUUGAAAGGGGAGAGUGCCUUCGGGAGCGCGAACACAGGUGGUGCACGGCUGUCGUCAGCU